UCUGGUUCAGGAUGAACGCUGGCGGCGUGCCUAAUACAUGCAAGUCGAGCGAACGGACAGGAGUGCUUGCACUCCUUGAAGUUAGCGGCGGACGGGUGAGUAACACGUGGGUAACCUACCUAUAAGACUGGGAUAACUUCGGGAAACCGGAGCUAAUACCGGAUAAUAUAUACCUCCGCAUGGAGGAAUAGUCAAAGACGGUUCUGCUGUCACUUAUAGAUGGACCCGCGGUGUAUUAGCUAGUUGGUGAGGUAACGGCUCACCAAGGCAACGAUACAUAGCCGACCUGAGAGGGUGAUCGGCCACACUGGGACUGAGACACGGCCCAGACUCCUACGGGAGGCAGCAGUAGGGAAUCUUCCGCAAUGGACGAAAGUCUGACGGAGCAACGCCGCGUGAGUGAAGAAGGUUUUCGGAUCGUAAAACUCUGUUGUAAGGGAAGAACAAGUACGUUAGUAACUGA
rnacentral:rRNA from 1 species